UACGGGGGGGGCAAGCGUUGUUCGGAAUUACUGGGCGUAAAGGGCUCGUAGGUGGCCAACUAAGUCGGACGUGAAAUCCCUCAGCUUAACUGGGGAACUGCGUCCGAUACUGGAUGGCUCGAGUUUGGGAGAGGGAUGCGGAAUUCCAGGUGUAGCGGUGAAAUGCGCAGAUAUCAGGAGGAACACCGGUGGCGAAGGCGGAUCUCUGGGCCAUUACUGACGCUGAGGAGCGAAAGCGUGGGGAGCGAACAGG
rnacentral:rRNA from 1 species